GUUCCAGUGGUGAAAUUUGUAAACACAACAAACUUAAGCUUUUUAGACUCGGUCUUUAAGGUCAAGCCCUUCUUGGAUA
rnacentral:tRNA from 1 species